CAUGCAAGUCGAGCGGAUGAGAGGAGCUUGCUCCUUGAUUUAGCGGCGGACGGGUGAGUAAUGCCUAGGAAUCUGCCUGGUAGUGGGGGAUAACGUCCGGAAACGGGCGCUAAUACCGCAUACGUCCUACGGGAGAAAGCAGGGGACCUUCGGGCCUUGCGCUAUCAGAUGAGCCUAGGUCGGAUUAGCUAGUUGGUGAGGUAAUGGCUCACCAAGGCGACGAUCCGUAACUGGUCUGAGAGGAUGAUCAGUCACACUGGAACUGAGACACGGUCCAGACUCCUACGGGAGGCAGCAGUGGGGAAUAUUGGACAAUGGGCGAAAGCCUGAUCCAGCCAUGCCGCGUGUGUGAAGAAGGUCUUCGGAUUGUAAAGCACUUUAAGUUGGGAGGAAGGGCAUUAACCUAAUACGUUAGUGUUUUGACGUUACCGACAGAAUAAGCACCGGCUAACUUCGUGCCAGCAGCCGCGGUAAUACGAAGGGUCCUUAUUGGGUCGGUAACAAGGUAGCCGUAGGGGAACCUGCGGCUGGAUCACCA
rnacentral:rRNA from 1 species